GCCUGGGUGGCUCAGUUGGUUAAGUGUCUGACUUGCUUUCGGCUCAGGUCGUGAUCUCACAUUUUGUGGGUUCGAGCCCCACGUCAGGUU
rnacentral:tRNA from 1 species